rnacentral:tRNA from 1 species
GGAAGAUGGCUGAGUGGCUUAAAGCGACGGAUUGCUAAUCUGCUGUAUAAUUUAUUUGUACCAAGGGUUCGAAUCCCUUUCUUUCC